GGUGUUGGCCCUCACCCUUGUAGUCUUGUUUGGUGGUUUCUCAUCAGCUCAAGCCACUUCUCCUGCAAAGAUUGUUAGUGGGUUUCUCUCAAGUGUUGCCUCUGUUCUGAUGAAAUGGUUGUGGUCACUCAAAGCUACAGCUACCACCAAAACAGCAAUUACUGGCCGUCCGAUGAUGAAGUUUGAGAGUGGGUAUAUUGUUGAGACUGUGUUUGAUGGAAGUAAGCUUGGGUAG